UGUGCGCCUGUAGUCCUAGCUGCUCAGGAGGCUGGGGUGGGAGGACUACUUGACCCCAGGAGUUUGAAGCUGCAGUGAGCUAUGACAGCACCACUGCACUGUAGCCUGGGUGACAGAAUGAAACUCUGUCCGAAACCGAGUGAUCUAGCCAUGACCAGGUUGAAGUUGGGGUAAAACCCGAUGGAGGACCGAACCGACCCCCGUUGAAACGUUGGCGGAUGAGUUGUGGCUAGGGGUGAAAUUCCAAUCGAACUCGGAGAUAGCUGGUUCUCCCCGAAAUAGCUUUAGGGCUAGCGUCGAGGUAAAGUCGUGUGAAGGUAGAGCACUGAAUAUGUGAUGGCCCCAUCUCGGGGUACUGAACAUAAUCAAACUCCGAAUGUCACAAAGAUAUACUCGGCAGUCAGACAGUGGGUGAUAAGGUCCAUUGUCAAAAGGGAAACAGCCCAGACCAUCAGCUAAGGUCCCAAAAUAUAUACUAAGUGGAAAAGGAUGUGGAGAUGUCCAGACAACUAGGAGGUUGGCUCAGAAGCAGCCAUCCUUUAAAGAGUGCGUAACAGCUCACUAGUCGAAUGACUCUGCGCCGAUAAUUUACCGGGGCUAAGUAUAUUACCGAAGCUAUGGAUUUACGCGUAAGCGUGAGUGGUAGGGGAGCGUUCUAUGUGCGGAGAAGCGGUACCGUAAGGAGCCGUGGAGCGCAUAGAAGAGAGAAUGCCGGUGUGAGUAGCGAAACGUGGGUGAGAAUCCCACGCACCGAAAACCCAAGGUUUCCAGAGGAAGGUUCGUCCGCUCUGGGUAAGUCGGGACCUAAGGCGAGGCCGAGAGGCGUAGUCGAUGGACAACAGGUAGAGAUUCCUGUACUUACGGUAUGAAUGAUGGAGUGACGGAGAAGGCUAGCGGAUCCUGCUGAUGGAAAUGCAGGUGCAAGCGAGGUAGCCGACAGCCAGGCAAAUCCGGCUGUCGAAAGGCAAAGGCGUGAGGCGUAUGGAAAGCUGCGGCAAGUACAGAAGUCCGUGAAGCCAGCUUCCAAGAAAAGCUUCUAGUGAUAAUCAUACAGUAACCCGUACCGAAAAUGGACACACAUGGGUGAGGAGAGAAUCCUAAGGUGAGCGAGAGAACUAUAGCUAAGGAACUCUGCAAAAUGACUCCGUAACUUAGGGAUAAGGAGUGCUCAUAGAGAUAUGAGCCGCAGUGAAACGGCCCAAGCGACUGUUUACCAAAAACACAGCUCUAUGCUAAGUCGAAAGACGACGUAUAUGGGGUGACGCCUGCCCGGUGCUGGAAGGUUAAGAGGAUGUGUCAGCGUAAGCGAAGCAUUGAAUUGAAGCCCCAGUAAACGGCGGCCGUAACUAUAACGGUCCUAAGGUAGCGAAAUUCCUUGUCAGGUAAGUUCUGACCCGCACGAAUGG
rnacentral:rRNA from 1 species